GAACCAGUAGCGGACGGUUCCGCGCCCGCAGCUCUUAGAGAUCCUCGCCGAAGCAUACCAGCGGGUGCCCCUGGUUCGACUCCAGGCUGGAUCA